rnacentral:rRNA from 1 species
GAUGAACGCUGGCGGCAUGCCUAAUACAUGCAAGUCGAGCGAACGGACGAGAAGCUUGCUUCUCUGAUGUUAGCGGCGGACGGGUGAGUAACACGUGGAUAACCUACCUAUAAGACUGGGAUAACUUCGGGAAACCGUAGUUAAUACCGGAUAAUAUUUUGAACUGCAUGGUUCAAAAGUGAAAGACGGUCUUGCUGUCACUUAUAGAUGGAUCCGCGCUGCAUUAGCUAGUUGGUAAGGUAACGGCUUACCAAGGCAACGAUGCAUAGCCGACCUGAGAGGGUGAUCGGCCACACUGGAUCUGAGACACGGUCCAGACUCCUACGGGAGGCAGCAGUAGGGAAUCUUCCGCAAUGGGCGAAAGCCUGACGGAGCAACGCCGCGUGAGUGAUGAAGGUCUUCGGAUCGUAAAACUCUGUUAUUAGGGAAGAACAUAUGUGUAAGUAACUGUGCACAUCUUGACGGUACCUAAUCAGAAAGCCACGGCUAACUACGUG